rnacentral:rRNA from 1 species
UACGUAGGGUGCGAGCGUUAAUCGGAAUUACUGGGCGUAAAGGGUGCGCAGGCGGUUCUGCAAGUCAGGCGUGAAAUCCCCGGGCUUAACCUGGGAAUGGCGCUUGAAACUACGGGACUGGAGUAUGGCAGAGGGAGGUGGAAUUCCACGUGUAGCGGUGAAAUGCGUAGAGAUGUGGAGGAACACCGAUGGCGAAGGCAGGUCUCUGGGCCACUACUGACGCUGAGAAGCGAAAGCAUGGGGAGCGAACAGG